UUGGCCAUCCAAAGUGCUGGGAUUAUAGGCAUGAGCUACCACACCCAACCUGCUAUGGUUUGGAUAAGGUUUGCCCCACUGAAACUCAUGCUAGAACAAUCGAUUGGCUAACAAGGUCGAUGACGCCAGACGCAAGACGUUGGGCCUACCGCGGUAGCGUGAGGGAAGCCAUGAGCUCCGUUCCAAGGCAUCUGUGAGCCUGUGGAGUAGACACCACGAGCAAAGCUCACCCUCCUGAGUUGAAAAAAUUUAUGGACAAGAAGUUAUCAUUGAAAUUAAAUGAUGGCAGACAUGUCCAAGGAAUAUUGCGGGGAUUUGAUCCCUUUAUGAACCUUGUGAUAGAUGAAUGUGUGGAGAUGGCGACUAGUGGACAACAGAACAAUAUCGGAAUGGUGAAAAUACUAGGAGAUAGUAUCAUCGUGUUAGAAGCCUUGAAACGAGUAUAAAUAAUGGCUGUUCAGGAGAGAAACUCAUGUCCUCUCUCCAUAGGGCCUGUUUUACUAUGAUGUAAAAAUUAGGUCAUGUACAUUUUCAUAUUAGACUUUUUGUUAAAUCAACUUUUGUAAUAGUCAAAAAUGCUUUCUCAGACGUUCUGAAUAUACAAUAUUAGCUCUUAUUCCAACUUUUUCUAACAUGAAUUUUCCUGCUUGAUAUUGAUUUCAAAGGGUUUAUGUAUUAAAGUGAAAGAAUCUUAAUAAAUGUGAAACAUGGCAAAAAAAAAAAAAAAAAAAAGAAACUCAUGCUAAAAUUUGAUCCCCAAAGUGGUGGUGUGGUGUUGGGAGGUGGGGCCUAGUGGGAGGUGUCUGUGUUAUGGGGCCAGGUCUCUCCUGAAUGGCUUGAAGUAGCUCUGGAGGCAAUGAGUGCUUGCUCUCAAGAGCCUGGAUUGUUCUCCAGAACAUACAGUAGUUGGCCAGGUGCAGUGGCUCAUACCUGUAAUCCCUGCACUUUGGGAAGCCG